UCUCUUUUUAGGCAGCAGUGGAGAGCUGCAUGAGGAGCCAGUUGGCAAGCAGCAGGUUGGGUCUUUGGGGAACGCCCAGAGAUACGGGUGUGACGGGGCCAAGCGACCCAAGGCCCCCUGCCACCCGCUAACUUCUCUACAUGGCCUGGCCCAGCCAGCUAUGAAGGAGGAAGAGAGGACCCUAACACUCCCUUGACCCACUGAUGGACGGUGACUUUAAGAGAUUCUAGGCAUAGACUGAUUCCAAUCUUUAAAUUCAUUUAAAAUAAAGUUUAUGUUUGUAAAGACUGA